rnacentral:rRNA from 1 species
UCUGGUGGUAAAGCAAGAGGGCCACACCUGAUCCCAUCCCGAACUCAGAAGUUAAGCCUCUUAGCGCUGAUGAUACUUGGGCCUGAGCCCUGGGAAAGUAAGUCACCGCCGGAA